rnacentral:rRNA from 1 species
AUGUACCCAGUGGCUUGGGCUGUGGUGGAGAAAGAAACUAAUGAAAGCUGGAAGUGGUUUAUUGCUCUAUUAAUUAAAGAGUUGGAUAUUAAUGACCAAGGAGCAGGUUGGGUUUUCAUUUCUGAUCAGCAGAAGGUAAUUCUUUGCUUACUUGCUUUACUGAAAUGGAUAUCUUAUUUAGCAAAUAUGUAG